rnacentral:sRNA from 19 species
AUAUCUCUCCGUACGGGAAGGAUGAGAAGCUUCGACCAGGGUUCGAUUCGAGCGCAGCGAGAAAGCGUUGCCGCAGGCAACGACCCGAAGGGCGAAGCGCGCAGCGCUGAGUCAUCCUUCCCCCACCACCA